rnacentral:rRNA from 1 species
ACACAGGUGCUGCAUUGGCUGUCGUUCAGCUCGUGUCGUGAGAUGUUGGGUUAAGUCCCGUAACGAGCGCAACCCUUGUCCUUAGUUACCAGCACGUUAUGGUGGGCACUCUAAGGAGACUGCCGGUGACAAACCGGAGGAAGGUGGGGAUGACGUCAAGUCAUCAUGGCCCUUACGGCCUGGGCUACACACGUGCUACAAUGGUCGGUACAAAGGGUUGCCAAGCCGCGAGGUGGAGCUAAUCCCAUAAAACCGAUCGUAGUCCGGAUCGCAGUCUGCAACUCGACUGCGUGAAGUCGGAAUCGCUAGUAAUCGUGAAUCAGAAUGUCACGGUGAAUACGUUCCCGGGCCUU